rnacentral:rRNA from 1 species
UACGUAGGGUGCGAGCGUUAAUCGGAAUUACUGGGCGUAAAGUGUGCGCAGGUGGCCGCGCAAGUCGAGUGUGAAAUCCCCGAGCUUAACUUGGGAAUUGCGCUCGAAACUACGUGGCUCGAGUGUGGCAGAGGAAGGUGGAAUUCCACGUGUAGCGGUGAAAUGCGUAGAUAUCGAGAGGAACACCUGCGGCGAAGGCGGGUUGCUGGGCUGACACUGACGCUGAGGCGCGAAAGCUAGGGGAGCGAACGGG